rnacentral:rRNA from 1 species
UGAGUAACCUGCCCUCAGCUCUGGGAUAACUCCAAGAAAUUGGGGCUAAUACCGGAUAUGACCGCUGACCGCAUGGUCUGGUGGUGGAAAGAUUCAUCGGCUGGGGAUGGGGUCCGCGGCCUAUCAGCUUGUUGGUGGGGUAGUGGCCUACCAAGGCGACGACGGGUAGCCGGCCUGAGAGGGUGACCGGCCACACUGGGACUGAGACACGGCCCAGACUCCUACGGGA